AAUGAACGCUGGCGGCAUGCCUAACACAUGCAAGUCGAACGAAGGCUUCGGCCUUAGUGGCGCACGGGUGCGUAACGCGUGGGAAUCUGCCCUCAGGUUCGGAAUAACAGCGAGAAAUUGCUGCUAAUACCGGAUGAUAUCGCGAGAUCAAAGAUUUAUCGCCUGAGGAUGAGCCCGCGUAGGAUUAGCUAGUUGGUGUGGUAAAGGCGCACCAAGGCGACGAUCCUUAGCUGGUCUGAGAGGAUGAUCAGCCACACUGGGACUGAGACACGGCCCAGACUCCUACGGGAGGCAGCAGUGGGGAAUAUUGGACAAUGGGCGAAAGCCUGAUCCAGCAAUGCCGCGUGAGUGAUGAAGGCCUUAGGGUUGUAAAGCUCUUUUACCCGGGAUGAUAAUGACAGUAC
rnacentral:rRNA from 1 species